GGGUAGCUCAGUGGCAGAGCCUCUGCCUUGCCUGCAGGCGAUCCCAGGUACAAUCCCUGGUGUCUCCA